UACGUAGGGUGCGAGCGUUAUCCGGAAUUACUGGGCGUAAAGAGCUCGUAGGCGGUUUGUCGCGUCGUCCGUGAAAACUUGGGGCUCAACCUCAGGCCUGCAGUCGAUACGGGCGGACUUGAGUACUGCAGGGGAGACUGGAAUUCCUGGUGUAGCGGUGAAAUGCGCAGAUAUCAGGAGGAACACCGGUGGCGAAGGCGGGUCUCUGGGCAGUAACUGACGCUGAGGAGCGAAAGCGUGGGGGAGCGAACAGG
rnacentral:rRNA from 1 species